CUCACACCCAUCAACGCCCGGGUACUACGAGCCCCAGCUUAAAACCCAAAGGACUUGACGGUGUCCCAUCCACCUAGAGGAGCCUGUUCUAUAAUCGAUAAUCCCCGCUAAACCCAACCUCCUCUUGCAAUCAGCCUGUAUACCUCCGUCGUAAGCUUACCAUAUGAAUGACCCCAGUAAGCUAAAUGAUUAUAACACCCCAAUACGUCAGGUCAAGGUGCAGCUCAUGAGAAGGCAAGCAAUGGGCUACAAUUUCUAAUCUAGAACAAACGAAACACUGCAUGAAACUCAGCUGUGAAGGCGGAUUUAGUAGUAAAAAGAAAAUAGCGUGUUCUUUUUAACUAGGCCCUGGGACGUGUACACACCGCCCGUC
rnacentral:rRNA from 1 species